GCCCGGGUGGCUCAGCAGUUGAGCGUCUGUCUUCAGCCCAGGGAGUGAUCCUGGAGACUUGGGAUCGAGUCCCACGUCGGGCU
rnacentral:tRNA from 1 species